rnacentral:pre_miRNA from 1 species
CCCUCACUCAGUUUGGCUGUGGUGUAACGGGCGCCUGACCCAUCACAACCUCCUUGAGUGAGUGA